GCGUGGGGGCCGGGUCCCGGGGGUGGCGUGGAGCAGCUUCUCCCUGAGCCCCGUGUGUUGCAGGAUCUGCGCUGGGGGGCAGCUCUGGAGGAGCCGCAGCCUGGAGUCGUGACCGAAGCUUGCUGGGUCUGUGUGGGACGCCCGUGGCCCUCAGGUGGCUGAACUGAAGGUCUCUGCGUGACGGUGAGAGUGCUGCCCUUGCAGUUCCCUUUGGUUAUAUCUGCGUGGUCUCUUCAGGUUUUGGAAGAGCCAACACCACAGCCUGGGUGAAUGGCACCCUUGGGGACUGACCCGAGGUCAAAUGCAGCUGCAGCCCUCCCCGUGCACAGCCUUGGCCACCGUGGGGCAGAGGGACGUGACUGCUGCUUCCCCAAAACGUGUGGCCAUACAACAGCGGUGCCAGCAGCCACUUCCCUGCGUGCCUGACCCAGCCUGGAGCCCAACAGGGACACUGCAAGGUGGGACAGGGACCGGCUGCAUCCUCAGGACCGGGUCCUGGUGCAAAGCCAGCGGCAGGGUGGCAGCCAGCGCCAUCAGCCAGCCAAGCAAAGCCUGCGGCAGCUGAGCAUGAGAUGGAGCCGAGGCCGGCCUCUGGGCGGGUGUCCCUUCAGCACAGCUCUGCUCCGGGUCCGCUUAGCCAGGGGCGGAGGAUGCUAUCGAUCUCUGCUCGCUCCCGUCUAGCAGAGAGGCUGCAAACGUGGCUUCCCAUCACGCGGCGCAUUAGCCAAAUUAAUUCCAGGACGGCGAGGCAGCCGGUGGGUUCUCAAGGCCGAGACAGAUCCGUGCUGCAGCCACGUGAGGAGGGGCAGAGCAGCUCCCCAGAUGCAGCCAGCCUUCUGCUCAGCCGGACCCACGCUCUGCAGGACGGGGAAGAUGCUGGGGCCGGUGACACGGGCGGUUCAGCUGUAAGGGACAUCUGUCUGCACCGUGCUCCCAUUCAGGCUGCUGCUGCUGCAAGUGGGGGACAUCUUGUUGCGUCUUGCUGGCUUUCUUUCAUCCCCAACCACAGGCGUGCCUGUGGAGCGCAGGAAGGUUCCUCCCCCGUGACAAGGAAAAAAGAAAUUAGCGAGCGGAUCGAGCGUGUACAGCAAAUAAUGAGAUCGCCUUGGAUACGGCGGCGGAAUUCAUGCAAAGAAUUGUGCUGAUCAGAGGAGAUAAGCAGCAGUUCCGUGGCCUGUGAGCAGCACCACGAGGCUCGUGUUUCUCAAGUGUUUUCUCAGGGAUGCUUGGAUGAAGGCUGCCAGCAGAGGCCCGAUCCAGAGGCAGAUUGAGCUGCUUUAGCUAUUGCGCUUAGGAGCGUGAUUUAAAAACUAAACCCUGGAAUAGCUAUGCUGGUGGUUAUUUUGGUGGGGAAGUGCCUCGUAAUGCGUCUCAUUUUCCUUGAGGCAUGGGAAUAGGCGAUACAGAAAUGAGCACUUCUAUACCAGCACAGCAGCACCCACAGAGGAGGCUCGUCCUGAGGGAGCCCACGUUGGAGGGGCCGAGUACUGGUGCAGUCAGUGAAAAGAGCUAAGUUUGUGGAAUGCUUUAAUAACGAGCAAUUGUUUCUUAUUAAUCCCCCGGUAUUAUAAAAGGGAAAAAAAAUCACAGUAUUUUACAGGCAAAUAAAGACAAAGCAUCUAGCUAGUGAACAGCUCAGUAGCUCAUUCAGUGCUUGUUAAAGCAGCUGAGGGUGUUUGUGCUGUCAGACUGAUUGGAAGGAGGGAUAGUAAACGGCUUUGUUUUUAUUUUUAUGGGAAACGUACUCAUCUCUGCGUUUGCAAUGCCUCUUAGUCAACACUGGUGUUUUUUCUAAGGCUUGAGAAGUGCCAUUAAUGACUAGAUGGGUUCCAGGCAGUCCUUUAAGGCACUUCGAGAGUCGACUGGUACCAGGAGCUUCCCUGCGAGGCAAGUACCAGAAGGCUGCUAGGCAGUGGCAGAUGGGCACGAGUAGCACUUCCAAAGGCACUUUAGGAAAGUAAAGCAUUCCCCAAAGCCUGGUAAAGCCUGCUUUGAUUGCAGUCCCAGCUUCCUGUACCAUGUGUGUGGCAGCAGCCUCACCGAUAGUAAAAUACCCCAGCAAAUACGUUAUCAUCCAGGUGUUUUUUCCCUUUAUGCUGGAAAAAAAAAAGAAAAGGGUAGAGGGACAUGUUCCCUGAGCACGUUCCCUGAGGCAGUUUGGUUUUCUUGUGCCACCUCCUGAGGUCUCAGGGAUAGAAUCAUUUUGGGAGGGCCCCAAAGGGCGUCCCCCCUCUCCCCACGCUCCCCCAAGAAGGCUGUGCUGUCAACCUGGGUGUUACAAGCAUCCUGCGUGUUGGUAACCCAUUUCCUGCGCUGAAAUGAGUGUUGGAUUUGAUGCAGUUAGCUCUCCCCAUGAUUUAAUUAUCGCUGCCCCAGCUGCCCACCUUGGCUUUAGCACUGCCCUGCUCACAGGUGGGGGAAGCAUGCAGGCAGCGCUGCACAGUUACGGGCUUUGCAGGAGAGGCUGUGGGUGCUUUCCACGUGCUCAUCCUGAUUCAUGUAUUUUAUGAAUCAGAACUUAGUCCCGUUUUGUAAUGCUUGCCUACGUAGCUGUUGAUGUCGUUGUUAUCCAGGCUCUGAUGUCAGCUGCUGGAGCCCAGGCGCUGGCAGCUGGUGUCCCUGGCCAGCUCCCAGCCUGCAAUUCAAUUUCCCCAUCAGUCACUUCAGAAGACAGGAAAAAAAACACAUUUCUGUCUGUUUGUGACUUCACAUCACCAAGGGCUCCAGGCUACAAGUUCAUUUAAGGCUCUUCCACACUGUGACACAUGGGAAAGCUCAGAAAAAUCGAAUAAUGGUAUAGAAGUGACACCCUCAUUUAUACUGUGCUAAACUACUGUAAGCGAAGGCCAGCUUAAUCCUGGAUGAACAUCUCUGCGCAAGAGUUUAAUGUCUUUUAGGUUUCUUACAUUAACAUUGUCUCUCUGAACACAGAUCAGUCCAGGCAUGUUUUGCCCUGUUCCCAAUCUCAUCAAUGGUGGAAAAGGACCACAAAGGGCAGAGGCAGCAGCACGGGGGAAUAAGGGCAUCCCCCUGGAAGCACAGAGCCCUGCGCUGCCUUCUGACACUGACCCUCUGCGUGGGUUUUUGUGUAGCACUUUGAGCCUGAAUAUUUCUGUCUGCAUGUUAGGAUUAUUAGAAUAUUCCCUGACUUUACAAAGGGCUUGAGGAUCUCCAGAGAUGCAUGUGCACCAUUUCCCCGGUUUGAGCUUUCAAAAAUACACCCAGAGGAGCACAUUCCUGUGUGUCUGGAGGACCCACCUGGGAUGUCACAGCUGCUUUGGUUCUUAGAGCGAAGGAAUUCAGACCAGCUGAGAGCCAGCCCCACCACCAGGUAUUGCUCUCUGACAAAGGAAAGAGAAAAUUGUGACACCUAGUUAAGUGCAUAUAACUGUGCCUAAUAAGAAGUGUGUGUAAACCAGAAUCGCAUGCCUGCAGGGUGCAACGCUGUCCUACUAACUGCCUGUCAGUUAUCCUGCUUAUUUUAUCUGGAAACAUCAUUUUGGAGCUUUUUCAUGACUUUAGAUGUUUAGGAAGAGGACAUUUAUUUCAAUUUAGCCAGUGGAACAUAAAAAAUUCCACUGAGUCAGACGGAGCUGAUUUAUUAGGGAAUGACUCUGGAAGAUCUUCAUUCUAUCUGAACUCAAAAUCUCUUCCCUUCUUUCACAUUCCUUAAUAUGCUUACUGCUUAGCAGCCACAACCUCAAUGAAUGCGUGCCCUGUCUUGCUGAGAACUCCUAACAACCCCUCCGUACAAAAGCUGUGAAGAUGAGACCUGCUGGACACUAAGAAGCAGUGACCAUUCCACUUUUAUUAGGACUCUCUGGGACGCAAAUGGAAGGGAACAGAGCGAGUCCCUGCCUGCUGAAUUCCACGGGCUUGCACCCAGCUACAGAAAGGCCCGGAGGCAUUUUGAGUCUUUUUGUGUACACAUCAGCCCCGCGCUGCUCCCAGGCAAUUGCGCUUUAACUUAGCUGUUAUUAGUAAUAAGGGAUUGGCUGCCGAUGGUUCAAACUAAUUUCCAUGGGAAUAUUGCCUGAAACGGGAUAAAUGACUGGGCUUUGAGUUGUGCAACCAGACUUUGUAACGUGAAGGAAUGAAACCCAGGAAAAGUGUUCACGUGGUGGGGAGUGACUGACCUUGCAUAACCUCUACAAGGCCCAUAUUCCUUCCAUUUCUAGCAUGCUGCAUUCAUUAUUUUCUGAAAAUACCGGUUUGCACUUUCAGCCUGUGUCCUUUGGGAUUAAAUUUUUAUCACCCCUCACAGCAUUCCUUAAACAUUUCACCCACUUAUUCAUUUAUUUACAUUCCUUCUAAUGAUGCACUGCUGGAGCUUCCAUAAGAGAAGACGUAUCAGGAAUAUGAACAAUAAUAGAAACAUUGUAAAACAUACUGCUCUCCUCUGCUGUGUCUAUCUCGUUAAGAUUAUUGCUACAGAAGAGAGGCAAGACACCUACUACGACUGACUUAGACAUUAAAUGAUGCACUGAUAAUUCCUUCACCUUAUCAAUAAACUCCAAAUGCCUUUAUGAGCCUUAACGAAGCUUUUCAGGUUAUACAGCUAUUUGGUUAAAUGAAAUAGAGGUGGUUAAUAAGAUUUCCCGGACUGUAAAGGGAGAAGCAUUAUGAACAAAGAGGAAUCUGAGUGGGCGUACAUUCCUCGCCCUG
ensembl:lncRNA